rnacentral:rRNA from 1 species
AUUGAACGCUGGCGGCAUGCCUUACACAUGCAAGUCGAACGGCAGCACGGGUGCUUGCACCUGGUGGCGAGUGGCGAACGGGUGAGUAAUACAUCGGAACGUACCUUAUCGUGGGGGAUAACGCAGCGAAAGCUGCGCUAAUACCGCAUACGCCCUGAGGGGGAAAGCGGGGGAUCGCAAGACCUCGCGCGAUUAGAGCGGCCGAUGCCUGAUUAGCUUGUUGGUGGGGUAAAAGCCCACCAAGGUGACGAUCAGUAGCUGGUCUGAGAGGACGAUCAGCCACACUGGGACUGAGACACGGCCCAGACUCCUACGGGAGGCAGCAGUGGGGAAUUUUGGAAAAUGGGGGCAACCCUGAUCCAGCAAUGCCGCGUGAGUGAAGAAGGCCUUCGGGUUGUAAAGCUCUUUUGUCAGGGAAGAAACACCGGCUCUAACACAGUCCGGGAAUGACGGUACCUGAAGAAUAAGCACCGGCUAACUACGUGCCAGCCGCCGCGGUAA